rnacentral:rRNA from 1 species
AUUGAACGCUGGCGGCAAGCCUAACACAUGCAAGUCGAACGAGUGGCGGACGGGUGAGUAAUGUAUGGGAAACUGCCUGAUGGAGGGGGAUAAAUACUGGAAACUGUAGCUAAUACCGCAUACCCUCGGAUGUGCCCAGAUGGGAUUCGCUAGUAGGUGGGGUAAAGGCUCCCCUAGGCGACGAUCCCUAGCUGGUCUGCGAGGAUGACCGGCCACACGGGAACUGAGACACGGUCCAGCCUCCGACGGGAGGCAGCAGUGGGGAAUAUUGCACAAUGGGCGCAAGCCUGAUGCAGCCAUGCCGCGUGUAUGAAGAAGGCCUUCGGGUUGUAAAGUACUGUCAGCGGGGAGGCGUUACCCGCAGAAGAAGCACCGGCUAACUCCGUGCCAGCAGCCGCGGUAAUAC